rnacentral:rRNA from 1 species
AUGUUGGAGACGCUGGCGGGGAAGCGCGCCAUCUUCAAGGAGGCCGAGGACGGGAGCCCCUUGAGCGUGGUGGACUACGCGCAGCCGAGCAUCGUCGCCGGGGAGCUCGGCAAGGUGCUGGAUGGGCGCGCGCCGGAGCCGUCACCGCACGAGGCCGAGGCCGUCGAGCUGGUGGCCUACACGGCCGUGCACUGCGUGCGGCUCGAGGGCAAGGACCGGCCGGCGAUGGCCGACAUCGUGGCCAACCUGAAGACGGCGUUCACGCUCUGCGAGGGCAACGCGGGCGGCAGCCGCGGCGCCACCACCGGGGGCGGCUUCGGCAACAGCUCGUCCAGCGCCAGCUUCUCCAUGACGUCCAUGGAGCUGUCGGGAAGGCUCGCGGAGUAG